UCAGCCUCCUCAACACAAACAUGUUUGCUGAUGCUGAUACUGGUGGUGACAUGGGUAGAUUGUGCUAUUGAACACACUCAGCCCAGCUCCAUCAUGGUAAAGCCAGGAGAGUCUCUGACAGUUACCUGCAAAGUGACUGGAGCAUCCAUUACAGAUAGCAGCUACUAUGGAACAGCCUGGAUCCGUCAGGCAGCAGGGAAACCUCUAGAGUGGAUCAACACGCUCUACUAUGAAGAAAGCAAAAAUGAAAACAAUGCCCUGAAGAACAAGUUCAGCAUCUCCAGAGACACGUCCAGUAACACAGUGACUCUACAGGGUCAGAAUCUACAGGCUGGAGACACAGCUGUGUACUACUGUGCCGAGAGUCACUGUGACAGAAAACAAGCACUUACACUGACAAAAACUCUCCCUAGUAAUCAGUAGUAUUCAUUUAAUGUCAGAAUGUGAGUUUAA